UUGACAGAGAGCAAAAUAUUUCCAUUUCCCCCAGCAAACAGCUUGUCCUCACGUAACGACAGUUUUCCAUCUGCAAGAACUGCCUUUUUGAUUCCACGAACCACCUGAGGUGAAAAUUUACCUUGGACUGCUCUAUAGACUGUUUCGGCGAAGUGUCUCCAAUUGCAUGACUGCCUAAAUGACUGUUACAGUUUGAGGCCCACCCCUACUGGAUGGGAAGAUGAGUUGUGAAGUGACAUCUACACUAGGUUCAGCGUUUCUGACACCAACGACUCCGUUGUGCUUAAUGCCUUAUCAUUUCUGAAUGAUGUAUGAACUCUAUGGAGUGUGCUAACGAGAACAUUAUACAGGUGUUGAAGAUGGAAAUUAAGGAAGCUUUUUCGGACUGCUGGACCGGGAGACAGGAGGAUCAAGGAGUCUUGGUGACAAUGGGUAGUUCUUGAACAGCUGACAAAGGCUGAAGCACUCCUGCCAGAAAACACGUCUGAUGAAAUACAUUUUCCAGGAAAUGUGCAAGUAACUUUCCUGCUGUAGUGCAUCUAGGCCUGGAAACUUGAGCUGAGCAGAGGAAAAUGGACGAGAGAUGUUGACAGCUUUGCCAAAGGGACAAGACAGGAUUUCCAGUCACAUUUUAAGCUGCAUGGGCAGGGCUGUCUCCUACUCUGUGUAUCUACUGGACCUGUGAAAUGGAACUUUGAUUCCAUGUAAGGCCACAAGGUAUCAUUUUAAUACCAAGUCAA